rnacentral:rRNA from 1 species
CAAUAGCGUAUAUUAAAGUUGUUGCAGUUAAAAAGCUCGUAGUUGGAUUUCUGGUGGGAGCGAUCGGUCUGGCGCUUAGCGCGAGUACUUGCAUCGUCUCCGGCCAUCCUUGGGGAGUGUCUGUCUGGCAUUAGGUUGUCGGGCAGAGGAUCCUCAUCGUUUACUGUGAAAAAAUUAGAGUGUUCAAAGCAGGCUUAUGCCGUUGAAUAUAUUAGCAUGGAAUAAUAAGAUAGGACUUUGGUACUAUUUUGUUGGUUUGCGCACCAAAGUAAUGAUUAAUAGGGACAGUUGGGGGUACUCGUAUUCCGUUGUCAGAGGUGAAAUUCUUGGAUUUACGGAAGACGAACUACUGCGAAAGCAUUUACCAAGGAUGUUUUCAUUAA